AUGGAGCACCAGCCGCCAGCCGACGACGUCGUGGUCCAGCUGAGCGCCGCCGCCGUCGCGGCCGUCGACGAGAGGAGCUCGACGAACCACGACGGCGACAACGCCGGCGCUGGGGACGGCGGCCGCGCGCGCCGCACCUUCAGCCAGUACUACAAGAUGGAGCACCGCAAGGCCCCGGAUUUCAAGUGGUGGCAGAUCGGGGUGCUGAGCUACCAGUCGCUGGGCAUCAUCUACGGCGACCUCGGGACGUCGCCGCUGUACGUGUUCUCGACCGUGACGCUGCCGGACCCGGGGGAGGAGGACUUCCUCGGCAUCCUCAGCCUCAUCCUCUGGACGCUCACCCUCAUCGGCCUCCUCAAGUACACCUUCGUCGUGCUCCAUGCAGACGACCAUGGAGAAGGUGGUACCUUUGCCCUGUACUCGCUCCUGCGUCAGCAUGUGAAUUUCAGCGGAAGCAUGCCGAUGCCAGUCACACGGCUGGCGUCCGACAUUAAUCUCAAGUUUCACAGCAAGAAGAAGAAACUGCCGUCCAAGAUGCGCGAGUUCUUGGAAAGAAGCACAACAGCACAGUCAGUCAUCACCUACGUCGUGUUGAUCGCGACUUCCAUGGUGAUGGGUGAUGGUGCCCUCACUCCAGCCAUCUCAGUUCUGUCGGCCGUUCAAGGAAUCCAAUCAAGAUCUCCUAAGAUAACACAAGAUCAUGUUGUCAUUCUAAGCGUGAUUAUAUUGAUCAUUCUGUUCCUUUUUGAGAACUAUGGGACAAGCAAAGUCAGCUUCGCUUUCUCUCCUAUUAUGCUCCUAUGGUUUGCGUUUGUCUCGCUCAUUGGACUGUACAAUAUUAUCAAGUAUUACCCACCAGUUCUCAAAGCCGUGUCGCCACUCCACAUAAUAACGUUCUUCGCAAGGAACAAAAGAAAAGCCUGGGAGCAACUUGGAGCAAUUGUUCUAUGCAUAACGGGUGCCGAAGCUAUGUUUGCUGACCUGGGUCACUUCAACAAGUCAUCGAUUCAGNNGGGAUUUUCAGCAGUAGUUUAUCCAUCAAUGAUCCUUGCAUAUUCUGGCCAGGCAGCAUUUUUGAUCAAGAACCCUUCUAAGCUCAGCACGACGUUCUACAGUAGCACUCCAGAGCCCUUGUUUUGGCCCAUGUUUAUCAUAGCUACUUUAUCUGCUAUUGUUGCAAGCCAGGCAUUAAUAUCAGCCAGUUUCUCCAUCAUUCGACAAUCAAUUGCAUUAGGUUGUUUUCCAAGGGUUACGAUGAAGCAUACCUCAGAAAAAUAUGAAGGCCAAGUAUACUCUCCAGAGGUCAACUACUUCUUGAUGAUCACGUGCAUCGUGAUAACUUAUGGAUUUAAAGGGGGGCCACAGAUCGGGCAAGCCUUUGGCACAGUAGUGAUAUGGGUUAUGCUGUUUACAACAACCCUCAUGACAGUUGUCAUGGUUGUCAUCUGGCAAACCAACAUCAUAGCAGUCGGCCUGUUUUUCGCUCUCUUCUUUUGCAUUGAAGGGAUUUACAUGACCUCACUUCUAAACAAGGUCUUACAAGGUGGGUGGGUUCCAUUUGCAAAUACUGCAUUUUUCCUUGCAAUUACAAUGUCGUGGACUUAUGGGAGACGCAAGAAGAAUGAAUACGAUGCAGCCAACUUGGUGGGCAAGCAGGAGUUUAUUAAAAUAGUAACAGGGAGCAGCCAGGUACCUGGGAUAUGCAUCUUUUGCACAGACUUGAUGAAUGGCAUUCCACCUAUUGUUCGCCACUAUGUUAAGCACACGGGUUCCAUCCGUGAAGUGAUGGUAUUUGUCACUGUGAGGAUUCUUCCAGUGAGAUCUGUCCUUCCAGAAGAGCGCUUCCUCGUAGACAAACUAGAUCAUGUUGGUGUUUAUAGGUGCAUACUCCAAUAUGGCUAUAUGGAUAACCACAACAUGGAUGAUGAUGACUUCAUUGUAUUGGUUGUUGCAUCCCUCAAGCAAAUAGCUGACAAUGAUGAGAUCUUACUGUUGGAUUCAGCUUUCACAAAUGGAACAAGCUUUGUGAUUGGAAGGACUAUUCUAAAGAUGAGCAUCACACGGAACUGCUUCAAGCGCUUCGUUAUUAAUAACUUUUACAGGUUCCUGCAAAAGAACUUCAGGUCCAACAUGUCUAGUCUGAAGAUAGCUCCUGGCAAAACAUUGCAGGUUGGAAUGCACUAUGAGAUCUGA
rnacentral:rRNA from 1 species